AAAGGCCCAACAUGAACUCCUGUUUUUUACGUCAGCUGGUAAAUUUCACAAUGACACCUAUUGUUUAAGCAUGAUGCAUUAUCAGUUUCAAAGGGUGUUUCUGAAUUUUGUGUAGACCAGAUAUCUUGAGUAACUUUUUUCCCAGAGCCAAUUUAAUUGACGAAAGUAUCUUUGUGUUGUCUUUACUAUUAUAUUGCAGUUGGUACGUCAUCAAAAAUGUUUGAUGUUAAAGAUUGGAGAGAUCUGAGCCGUCUAAUCGUACUAAACAUUUUCCGCUUGAUAUCUAGCCGUCUAUGCAAUCUACCCUCUUUACGCGGAUCACUUUCUAAAAUCAACGUCAGGAGUAAUAAAAUCGUUCUGCCACAUAAGGAAGUAAAACAGAGAAUAUUAAUUGUGGGAUAUACACAAUCAAGAAAUGGUCACGAUCAAAUAAUCGACCAAAUCAAUUAGUAGUAGAUUGAGUUGAUCAUGCACUAACUCCUCUCCUAAUUUCUCUCACGGAUGGCCGUGGGGGCCGGCAAAGGAGAAACAAAAGAGCACCGCUGGCUAACUCUUCGGACUUGAGACACAUCUCCUCUGUUUCCCCUCCUCCUCGUGGCUGGCCGCCAUGCUUGCGGUCUCGUGGUCUCUCCGGUGGCCGCGCCAGCCACGACGAGCAGCAGAGGGGAAGGGGCAAGCGUGCCAAGUCCAGGGUGCACGGUGGAGCUCGAAGCCUAGCCCCGGGGACCGACAUGGACGAUCAAGGCAGAGCGACGGAGGCGCUCGGUGAUGGCCUCGUCCGGCAGGAUGGGUGCGCCCAGGAGAAGUUCGUCGCAGUGCAGGAUCCGUGUCCAGUGGGAUGGGAGCGGUCGAGAGGAAAUCGUCGCCACGCAUGAUCCAUUUUUUCACUGCAGAUCAACGAUAGGCUUCCCGGCAACUAGAUUCGGCAAGGUUCGUCGCGUCGUGUGCCUUCUAGGUAUUGUCUUCAACGAGCAGCAGAAUCGCCGUAUCGGGCGAUGCGUCCACAUGUGCCACCACUAGAUCGCGUACUUGUAUUUUUUUAUCUUUUUUCCAUCAAUUGUUUCCACUAAUAUACUGUUGUAGAUUAGUGGAAUGCUGCAACAUGCAUUAGUUCUGAUUGUGGCUUUGACAAAAGGGUAAUGGGUUACCUUCACAAGAAUUGUAUGAGCCAUAAUAACCUAUAUUCAGUUUUUCAUUAUGUCUUUCUUUAAUAUGAUAGCCAUUGUAAUUGCAGAUUUGUGCCUGCGUGCGAUGCUUUGAAGUCUCUAUGUUCUCUAGAGUAAAAGGCCGUUGUCCACAUGAAUCAUCAAGUUCAUUUUAUUUGUACUGCCGAUAGCUGAAAUGUCUCAACUAAUUGAUAGUUUGUUUGAACUAUGAGCACUGUUCAAUUAGUGACGGCAAAAUGAAGUCACUUUUCGAUAAUUAAUGCAGUUUCAUCUAAACUUAAUCAUGUUACUUUCUAUUCCUCCUCAUAUCCUAACUUUCCAUGUAGUUAUAAAAAAAUAGAUAUUAAAUUAUCCUACUAUGUUCAUGAAGUUUAUCUAAAAUGGGUUUGGGUGGUUUAUUUGCUUACUGUACCAGUCAAAAAAGGAUAUAGAGAGACUAACGUGUUGAUUCUAGGUUUCGGAUGAAGCCUGGUGAUCAGGGGGAUACGUGAGCACCCCUUCUCUGCUAGACACGUAUCUAACGAUGUUACCACUGUACACGCAUCGAUGCGGUCCAGCGCGUCGAGUGGAAGGGCGGAGAGAUGCGGGGAAGGUGCACGACGACGCGCUUGGCCGGGGAGACACAACCGCGACCUCAGAUGUGCGAGGUGGAGGCCGACGAGGUGGAGCUCGAGGCCGGCGAGGUAGCGGCCGUUAGUGAGUGGUCGUUAGUGUGUAGCAGGAUCCAACGAUGGUGGACCAAGUCCAACGGUGAUAACCGGGUGCUCACGUAUCCCCAUGAUCACCAAAUCCACUCUCUUCUAGGUUUUUGUCUACUAGAUGUUUUCCACAUAAUUUCUGGUGGGUUAUCUAACUUAUGCAUUUUACCUCUCAGUUGUUAUAAAAAAACUUUAUUUUUAGUAAUUUUUUUGGCUAUACCUACCUUGAUCAAGUACUUUUGUAUGCAUUGUAAAGGUUCAUUAUUACGAUUUUUUAUUUUACAUUUAGUUACUUCAUAUGUUGUUUGGAUUCAUUAAAAAAUAAUCAGUAGUUGUUGCAUGAACCAUGUGAGUCAGCAUGUUGGUGUUUGCAGACAAUUUAUGAUAUGUGUGUGAGAUGGAGAAAUCAGAUCAAUCCUUUUCCCGAAAAUGUAUAUUAGCUAACGGCAUGUUAAAUAAUGAAUUGCGUGCAUGUUUUGAGAGUACCUCAUGAGUACUUUUAUGAUUUCAGGUAUUUGACAAUUAUCUUCUGGAAUAAGGAAAAAUUGAAGUAGAUCUUGCUUCGAGUCAGUAGCAUGCGCCUUUUUUUUCACUUGAGAAACCAUCUAGACCAGUUUUUUCACUAGCACUUCCAGUAAAGUCGUAUUGGUUGUUGGAUGAGAACAGUCUCAGAUGAAGGGUAGAGGUGAACACCAGAAGCAUGUCCAUGUCAUGUUUUUUUGAGGGCACUGGUUGGAUGCCCAAAGUGCACCGUUCUGUUUGCAGUGGCUCGAUCGUCGCCUUCAUGGCUGGAUGCAAGGGCAUGUCAGCUGGUACCAAGCAUGGCACCCCAUGUAGAAGUUGGCGUUGCUUUGAUGGUUGCAGAAGCCGAUAAUGUGCGCAUAAUGAGAAGCUACUGAUAAUGCCGGCACCACUGUAUAGUAAGCAACUGGGGAAGCGAAUGAAACUUGUGCUCCAUCUGUUUAUUUAAGAGUUUUUUUGAUGAUUGUGUCGCGCUCUGUCUCCCAUGUAUCCAUGCAAAUGAUGCCUUUUUGUCACUUUGUUUCUAUGUGAGAUGAAUCCUGAAUCGAAUAAAUCCUGUGGGCAUAGACUUGAUUAUUGUAUUAUUCAUGGAGUAAUUUUAACCCUCUUUUGCUUUCCUUUAUUUUGGAAUGUACAAUCACUGAUCAACCUCAGAAGGAUCAUGCGUCAACACCAAGAACAACCUCCUUACCUAGCUCAAGAUCCUGACUUGAACCUCAAGCAAAGGCGAGGAUGGACAACCAUCUUAAGUGGAAAACAAGAUGGCAGUCUAGAGGAUUGAGGUGCGGAUGAUGUCUUUCUGAAGUCAAAGUUAGACUUUCUAGCUGCAUUUUGGGAGGAUUCCGACAAGAUUGUGUUUGUGUAGUCCUAGGCCGAUCAAUUAAAUUUACACUCUUAUUUCAAAGGAUAACGCUUAGCGGCUUCAUUUUAUGGGUUUCCUUGACACAGAUAUAGUUUCCCACUUCACUUUUUCUUGCAGUGUACAUCUUCUAUUUUAUUAUACAAUGUCCACUACUUUGUGCGUUGUUCUUGUGCAAAUGUCUUUCUUGCUCAACUUCCAGGCAAACUCUGAAGCUUUAGUAGAUGCCAAAAUAGGAGAGAUAUAUUUUCUUGCUUUCUCUAAUGUACGUUUCCCUUGGCCAUUGGCCAAUACAAUUUGAUUCCCUAUUUACACUCUUUCUUUGCGUAGUAAUCAUUCUGUGUUCAUGACUGUUUUUGGAUUCCAUAGUAAAUAAAUCAACAAAUUUAUGAAUUGGUAUCAGGUUUGAUCUAAUUGGUUAUUGAAGUGAACUAUUAUUGUUGUUUAUUUAUUUUUUGUUGUGGCACCAUAUGAGGAGACGGGCAGGCGGGCGGUGAGGAAGAUCGAAAGAGAGAAGAUUAUCACUACUACUGAAACUUUACAUACUGCUUGUGGAAAUUCUUUUCUAGGUGGAUGCUUGUCGCCUAACUCUGCUUGAGAUUGUCUCACAUCUUCUAUUGAGAUAAUUUUUGAGUGAUUGUUUGUCUCAUUUUUCUUAGAGGUACAGGAUUAAAUGAUGAUGGUUCCUCCUAUUUUACACAUUUUUGUCCUACCCAGAUCUAAAAUAUUUUGAAGUGACAAUUUGAAUCAUGAACUGUGAAAUAUGCUUAAUACACAUGAAUUUUUACAUGUAUUGUACUGAUAUGUUGUGAGAAAACAUAAAAGCCGUAGCAACGCACGGGCAUUCAACUAGUACUGCUUUAAUUUUGCACUUUCCUGGUAGAAGAGGUCGGUGUUUAUCCUCCAAUUCGAAAUAAAAUGCACUUGCUUAGUUGAAGCGACACAAUCUCAUUAUUACCAUAAUUUGCAGGGAAUAGCUAAAUUCUUUGUGGCUAUCUUUUUUUACCAUGGAAGAUAACCUAAGUUGGCAUUGUUGUUUACGCAUGCAGAAAGGGAUUUGAUUGUCCAUUACUUGGCUAUCUUUAUUUUUCCAUGCAAACAAUCAGGAUAAAAAAUUAGAAAUAGUAUUUCUAAUAAUAGAUAUUUACGUAUGAUUUUGUACAAACCAAUUUGGCUUUUAUAUUUUAUUAUUGCUUUCUUCAGAAUAUCAUUCACACCUUCAUACAUAUGUCAGUUUUCCCAUUUUCAUGCAAACCCUCUGGCUUUGUAGAACAAAAUUAUAAGCAAAUGUUUACUGUCUCUGGGUUAUUUUAACAUUUGUUUAUCAACUAAUAAAUUCCCCUACCGAGAAUAGAAGCCACUCUGCGAUUGGAUUAUGCAUUCUAAUUGAUUGGAGAAAUUUUGUUUCCAAUUUCUAUAUAGUAUAGUCCUAUUCUCUGUCUUUAUCAGAUUUUUUUUAUUUAAAUCCUAUUUACUUUACUUUUGUAGGAGUUUUUUUUUGGUAAGUUGGGUGUUUCUGGUAUGAAAAUGGUCACUUUUGCGUCAUAGUAAACCUUCCGAUUCCCAUUAUAUGUUUUAUGCAAGUGCAAUUAGCAGUUAAAGUGAGACAUUUGGUUUGUCAUAAAUCUGUAAACCAUAUCGUGAUAUCGUCAAGUCAUAUACACUUUGAGCAACGCGGGUUGUAAUUAUAUCGUACUUUUUAGUUUUGGCUCUCAACUGGAGGAGCCUACGCAUAUCUUCAGCUUUUCGAUGCUAAUUCUUCUUAUAGCUACUUGCAACCGUGUUCAAGCCUUUCUCUAUGUUGCAUUACUAAACUAUGUGAUAAACAAAGAUUUGUCGCCUUUUUUGGGUCCAUUAGUGUUGUAGUUAAGCACACGUUUUUAAACACUACACAUGUUGUUCGUAAACUGGAUCAAGUAAUUGUCUGCGAAGAUUUUACACUAAAUUAAAUCUCUUGGCCAGGAAACAUCUUCAGUUUUCCUUUGUGUUUUCCUCCAU